rnacentral:rRNA from 1 species
AGGCGUCGAGCGGCGGACGGGUGAGUAAUGCUUAGGAAUCUGCCCAGUAGUGGGGGAUAGCCCGGGGAAACUCGGAUUAAUACCGCAUACGCCCUUUUGGGGAAAGCAGGGGAUCUUCGGACCUUGCGCUAUUGGAUGAGCCUAAGUCGGAUUAGCUUGUUGGUGAGGUAAAGGCUCACCAAGGCAACGAUCCGUAGCUGGUCUGAGAGGAUGAUCAGCCACAUCGGGACUGAGACACGGCCCGAACUCCUACGGGAGGCAGCAGUGGGGAAUAUUGGACAAUGGGGGCAACCCUGAUCCAGCCAUGCCGCGUGUGUGAAGAAGGCUUUCGGGUUGUAAAGCACUUUCAGUGAGGAGGAAGGCUUUCAGACUAAUACUCUGGAGGAUUGACGUCACUCACAGAAGAAGCACCGGCUAACUCCGUGCCAGCAGCCGCGGUAAUACGGAGGGUGCAAGCGUUAAUCGGAAUUACUGGGCGUAAAGCGCGCGUAGGUGGUUGAGUAAGCGAGAUGUGAAAGCCCCGGGCUUAACCUGGGAACGGCACUUCGAACUGCUCGGCUAGAGUGUGGUAGAGGGUAGUGGAAUUUCCUGUGUAGCGGUGAAAUGCG